CGCCCGGCGCUGGCGCCGCCCGCAGCUCCCGCCCGCCGCUGCCUAUUUUAGUCACGGCCGCGGCUCCGUGCCCGCCGCGGGACGCGCUGCCGCAGCGCCGAGGAGCGGCAGCUCCAGGCUGUCCCUGUCCUGUCCCGGGCGGCCGGGAAACUUUUCCCAGGACGCGAGGCAGGACAGUGAAACUGUUCUCCUGAUUCUGUUGAUGAAUUCAUUUGGAAGAGCUGAAAGACAGUAGGACUGUGUUUGGAUGGACCUGAUUUUGAUAACAUCUGUCUAGGAACAGUCGUGUUCCUCCAGCUGGGAACUGUUUUGGGUUGAGAAGACCUCCUGGAAUGCUUGUAACAUUGACUGCAGUUCCCUAAAGAGUGCAACUUUUAAGAUUCUGAAGGUAGUGUCUUGAAAUCUUCUAUGUUCUCCUUGUAGUUUGUUUU
rnacentral:lncRNA from 1 species